CCUACGGGAGGCAGCAGUGAGGAAUAUUGGUCAAUGGACGAGAGUCUGAACCAGCCAAGUAGCGUGAAGGAUGACUGCCCUAUGGGUUGUAAACUUCUUUUAUAAAGGAAUAAAACGAGGCACGUGUGCCUUUUUGCAUGUACUUUAUGAAUAAGGAUCGGCUAACUCCGUGCCAGCAGCCGCGGUAAUACGGAGGAUCCGAGCGUUAUCCGGAUUUAUUGGGUUUAAAGGGAGCGUAGAUGGGUUGUAAAGUCAGUUGUGAAAGUUUGCGGCUCAACCGUAAAAUUGCAAUUGAUACUGGCAGUCGUGAGUACAGUUGAGGUAGGCGGAAUUCGUGGUGUAGCGGUGAAAUGCUUAGAUAUCACGAAGAACCCCGAUUGCGAAGGCAGCUUACUAAACUGUGACUGACAUUGAUGCUCGAAAGUGUGGGUAUCAAACAGGAUUAGAUACCCCAGUAGUC
rnacentral:rRNA from 1 species